GACGAACGCUGGCGGCGUGCCUAAUACAUGCAGGUAGAACGCUGAAGGAGGAGCUUGCUUCUCUGGAUGAGUUGCGAACGGGUGAGUAACGCGUAGGUAACCUGCCUGGUAGCGGGGGAUAACUAUUGGAAACGAUAGCUAAUACCGCAUAAUAGUAGAUGUUGCAUGAUAUUUGCUUAAAAGGUGCAAUUGCAUCACUACCAGAUGGACCUGCGUUGUAUUAGCUAGUUGGUGGGGUAACGGCUCACCAAGGCGACGAUACAUAGCCGACCUGAGAGGGUGAUCGGCCACGCUGGGACUGAGACACGGCCCAGACUCCUACGGGAGGCAGCAGUAGGGAAUCUUCGGCAAUGGACGGAAGUCUGACCGAGCAACGCCGCGUGAGUGAAGAAGGUUUUCGGAUCGUAAAGCUCUGUUGUAAGAGAAGAACGAGUGUGAGAGUGGAAAGUUCACACUGUGACGGUAUCUUACCAGAAAGGGACGGCUAACUACGUG
rnacentral:rRNA from 1 species